rnacentral:lncRNA from 1 species
UUGAGCAGAUUCAAAGAGUCAUCAAGAGCUCCAUCCUCCCUUGAAGAGUGAAGCAUCCUUGACAAAGAAGAGCAAAGCCACUUCAAAGCGAUAAAUACUUUCUAACUCUUCUUUGUAGUUAAUAUUGUUUCAUAUGCUCAUUUAGGAGUUUGAAUCUUUUCUUUUGUUUGUCAAACAAUUUGUAAAGGUUCGUUGGUGAACCCGUAAAACCAACAAAGGUUUUUGGUGAACCCGAAAACCAAAGUCUAAAGGUUCGUUGGUGAACCCGUAAAACCAACAAAGGUUUUUGGUGAACCCGGAAAACCAAAGUGUAUAGGUUCGUUGGUGAGCCCGUAAAACCAACAAAGGUUUUUGGAUUGUGAGCCCGGAAAAUAAUCCAACUGUAAUCCGCGAGAUUAUAGUGAAUUCCCAAGGGGUCGCUUGGGGAGUGAACGUAGGUGCUAAGGAGAGCACCGAACCACUAUAUAUUGUUGUGUUUGUGUUGUGCUUGUGUUUACAUUUAUUCUUGCAUUACCUUCUAUCUUUGUUCCAGUUUAACUCAUUCUAAUAAUCUAAGAAAGCAACCACCGCACUUAAUUAAGAAAGCUUUUAAAGCACCAAAAUUUAGNN